ensembl:misc_RNA 7SK 7SK RNA
GGAUAUGAGAGUGGUCUGACUGCAACGCCUGAUCACCAGGGUUGACUUGGCUGAUCUGGCUGGCUAGGUGGGUGUCCUCUUCCUCCCUCACCACGCAUGUGCGUCCCUCCCCAAGCCACCCCCUCAGUUGAAGAGGUCGACCCCCGAUCGAAGGGGACCAUCUCCCGUGUCAAGGAUACACUAGUAGCUGUGCACCCUGCUAGAACCUCUCAACAAGCUCUCAAAAAUCCCAAGGGAAGGAGGCUGGGGAUUUAGCUCAGCGGCAUAAGCACCUACCUGGCAAGCAUGAGGCUGUGAGCUCGAU